rnacentral:misc_RNA from 1 species
GUCAAUGUAAGUUGAUGCUGUAAUCUUAAGUAUCAGAGUUGAUUCUUAGCCAUGAUUCUUGGAAUUUGACUUUUUUGUUGAACUUGUUGAUCACUUGGUCAACUUAUAGCUGGACAUAUUAUGUUAUUUGAGGAUAGAACAUCCUUUGAAGUCUUCAGAUACCCAGAUCUUGUUCUUGCUUCUUAGCUACUUUAAAAGCUCAAUGCUGCCCAAUUCAGUGAAAAACUUGCUGGAUAGGAUCUACUGCGACCUGUUCAUUACUUUUGCAAGAACUUCUUGUGAGGAAUGGGAAUAAUUUAGUAAACUAUAUUUUAUUUUGACAAUGAACAGUUUACUAAACUACAUUUAAAUUUGUG